UCUCUGGUAGUAUAGUGGUGAGUAUCCGCGCCUGUCACGUGCGAGACCGGGGUUCGAUUCCCCGCCAGAGAG
rfam:Strongyloides ratti strain ED321 Heterogonic genome assembly, chromosome: 2